CACGUUCUGAAGAAGCCAGAUACCCCGUAACAAGGGUUUAAUAGGGAAUACACGUGAAAAUCGUGAGCUGACGCGCAACUGUAAGUCCUUGCAUGCUUCUGCGGCACAGCGCCACUGAUCCCCGGAAUACCGGGACGGGAAGGCGCCGCAGAACGGACCAGCCAGGAGACCUGUCGGGCUUUUUUUUAUUUA
rnacentral:ncRNA from 2 species